AGAGUUUGAUCCUGGCUCAGGACGAACGCUGGCGGCGUGCCUAAUACAUGCAAGUAGAACGCUGAAGAGAGGAGCUUGCUCUUCUUGGAUGAGUUGCGAACGGGUGAGUAACGCGUAGGUAACCUGCCUUGUAGCGGGGGAUAACUAUUGGAAACGAUAGCUAAUACCGCAUAACAAUGGAUGACACAUGUCAUUUAUUUGAAAGGGGCAAUUGCUCCACUACAAGAUGGACCUGCGUUGUAUUAGCUAGUAGGUGAGGUAAUGGCUCACCUAGGCGACGAUACAUAGCCGACCUGAGAGGGUGAUCGGCCACACUGGGACUGAGACACGGCCCAGACUCCUACGGGAGGCAGCAGUAGGGAAUCUUCGGCAAUGGGGGCAACCCUGACCGAGCAACGCCGCGUGAGUGAAGAAGGUUUUCGGAUCGUAAAGCUCUGUUGUAAGUCAAGAACGGGUGUGAGAGUGGAAAGUUCACACUGUGACGGUAGCUUACCAGAAAGGGACGGCUAACUACGUGCCAGCAGCCGCGGUAAUACGUAGGUCCCGAGCGUUGUCCGAAUUUAUUGGGCGUAAGGCGAGCGCAGGCGGUUUGAUAAGUCUGAAGUUAAAGGCUGUGGCUCAACCAUAGUUCGCUUUGGAAACUGUCAAACUUGAGUGCAGAAGGGGAGAGUGGAAUUCCAUGUGUAGCGGUGAAAUGCGUAGAUAUAUGGGGGAACACCGGUGGCGAAAGCGGCUCUCUGGUCUGUAACUGACGCUGAGGCUCGAAAGCGUGGGGAGCGAACAGGAUUAGAUACCCUGGUAGUCCACGCCGUAAACGAUGAGUGCUAGGUGUUGGAUCCUUUCCGGGAUUCAGUGCCGCAGCUAACGCAUUAAGCACUCCGCCUGGGGAGUACGACCGCAAGGUUGAAACUCAAAGGAAUUGACGGGGGCCCGCACAAGCGGUGGAGCAUGUGGUUUAAUUCGAAGCAACGCGAAGAACCUUACCAGGUCUUGACAUCCCGAUGCUAUUUCUAGAGAUAGAAAGUUACUUCGGUACAUCGGUGACAGGUGGUGCAUGGUUGUCGUCAGCUCGUGUCGUGAGAUGUUGGGUUAAGUCCCGCAACGAGCGCAACCCCUAUUGUUAGUUGCCAUCAUUCAGUUGGGCACUCUAGCGAGACUGCCGGUAAUAAACCGGAGGAAGGUGGGGAUGACGUCAAAUCAUCAUGCCCCUUAUGACCUGGGCUACACACGUGCUACAAUGGUUGGUACAACGAGUUGCGAGUCGGUGACGGCGAGCUAAUCUCUUAAAGCCAAUCUCAGUUCGGAUUGUAGGCUGCAACUCGCCUACAUGAAGUCGGAAUCGCUAGUAAUCGCGGAUCAGCACGCCGCGGUGAAUACGUUCCCGGGCCUUGUACACACCGCCCGUCACACCACGAGAGUUUGUAACACCCGAAGUCGGUGAGGUAACCUUUUGGAGCCAGCCGCCUAAGGUGGGACAGAUGAUUGGGGUGAAGUCGUAACAAGGUA
rnacentral:rRNA from 1 species